UACAAUCAUGAAUGUUAAUCAUUUAAGGGAAUAGCAUAGUUGAGGACUAUGCUAAGUGGAUGAGAGAGGCUCCUUUUCCUGCCAACUCUGCACAUCCCUUUCCCUUCUCCCACCCCUGAGCUUGUUCCCUCCCUCUCUCCCGUUUCUCUGAGUGCCUGGAGCGAAGCAGUUCUAGACUCGCUGCCCAGUUCACCAUCCCACGCUGGGCCGAUUCCCCCGUGGCAGAAGGUAGGGCGCAGGCAGGUGGACCCCUGAGUGGGCGGCGCCUUUAGAGAACGGGAGGAGCUGCACGGGGACGGUAGAAGCAAUAAGCGCUUCCAGCAAAGGCCUGGCUGGGGUCGUUCCGGGGAGGGAGGCCGGGUCCACCAGCGUGGCCGCCGGCGAUCACGGAUCUUUUCCUGCGCGCAUCUCUUGGGAAGCGGAGUCCGGGCGAGGAAGAGAGCUCCACGUUUCCCAUUGAGAGCAAGAUCCAGGAGGCUUGGAGUUCAAUGGCUGCGAAACCGGCGGGCAGAAAAGGGGGCGAUCCCUCCCAGGUGCUGUUGUUUCGGGGAGUUGCUCUGGACGAGCCUCCUCCGGAGAGAGCAUCGGACAUUCCCAUGGCCUCGUCUUCAUCUCCUGGAGCCUCAGUUCUUUAUAAUGGAGGAUUAACAGUGGUUGAACAUCCA